rnacentral:rRNA from 1 species
CAAUAGCGUAUAUUAAAGUUGCUGCAGUUAAAAAGCUCGUAGUUGGAUUUCUGGCUUGUACCAUUAGGCCGGCCACGGUUUCGUGUGUUAGUGCUUGAUGUUCUGGCCAUCCUUCCAAUCGCUACGUACUCUUCUUCAUUGAUUGGUACGUGGUAUUGGAUCUUUUACUUUGAACAAAUUAGAGUGUUUCAAGCAGGCUUUAUGCUAUGAAUACAUUAGCAUGGAAUAAUAAUUUAGGACUUCGGUUCUAUUUUGUUGGUUUCUAGGACUGAAGUAAUGAUUGAUAGGGACAGUUGGGGGUGCUAGUAUUCAGCGGCCAGAGGUGAAAUUCUCGGAUUCGCUGAAGACUAACUUAUGCGAAAGCAUUCACCAAGGAUGUCUUCUUUAAUCAAGAACGAAAGUUGGGGGA